rnacentral:rRNA from 1 species
GAUGAACGCUAGCGGGAGGCUUAACACAUGCAAGUCGAGGGGCAGCAUAGGGUAGCAAUACUCUGAUGGCGACCGGCAAACGGGUGAGUAACGCGUAUGUAACCUACCCUGUACAGGGGGAUAACCCGGAGAAAUUCGGACUAAUAUCCCAUAACAAUAUCCGGGGGCAUCUUUGGAUAUUUAAAGUUCCGGCGGUACGGGAUGGGCAUGCGUAACAUUAGCUAGUUGGUAAGGUAACGGCUUACCAAGGCUUUGAUGUUUAGGGGUCCUGAGAGGGUGGUCCCCACACUGGUACUGAGACACGGACCAGACUCCUACGGGAGGCAGCAGUGAGGAAUAUUGGUCAAUGGGCGCAAGCCUGAACCAGCCAUCCCGCGUGCAGGAAGACGGCGCUAUGCGUUGUAAACUGCUUUUCCAGGGAGAGAAACUUGCGCACGUGUUGCGCAAUUGACGGUACCCUGGGAAUAAGCAUCGGCUAACUCCGUGCCAGCAGCCGCGGUAAAACGUGCGUG